rnacentral:rRNA from 1 species
GAUGAACGCUGGCGGCGUGCUUAACACAUGCAAGUCGAACGGAAAGGCCGAAGCUUGCUUCGGUACUCGAGUGGCGAACGGGUGAGUAACACGUGGGUGAUCUGCCCUGUACUUCGGGAUAAGCUUGGGAAACUGGGUCUAAUACCGGAUAUGACGAUCUCUUGGAUGGGGUUGUGGAAAGCUUUUGCGGUAUGGGAUGAGCUCGCGGCCUAUCAGCUUGUUGGUGGGGUAAUGGCCUACCAAGGCGUCGACGGGUAGCCGGCCUGAGAGGGUGUACGGCCACAUUGGGACUGUGAUACGGCCCAGACUCCUACGGGGGGCAGCAGUGGGGAAUAUUGCACAAUGGGCGCAAGCCUGAUGCAGCGACGCCGCGUGGGGGAUGACGGCCUUCGGGUUGUAAACUCCUUUCGCAAUCGACGAAGCCUUUUGGUGACGGUAGGUUGAGAAGAAGCACCGGCUAACUACGUG